AAAGAUUAAGCCAUGCAUGUCUAAGUACAAGCAAAAAUAAAGUGAAACCGCGAAUGGCUCAUUAUAUCAGUUAUGGUUCCUUAGAUCGCACUUACUACUUGGAUAACUGUGGUAAUUCUAGAGCUAAUACAUGCAUUGAGCUUCAACCCUUGUGGAAGAAGCGCUUUUAUUAGAUCAAAGCCAAUCGGAUCUUCGGGUCCGUUUUGUUGGUGACUCUGAAUAACUUUGCUGAUCGCAUGGUCUCGUACCGGCGACGUAUCUUUCAAGUGUCUGCCUUAUAACUUUCGAUGGUAGGUUAUGCGCCUACCAUGGUUG
rnacentral:rRNA from 1 species